UACGGGGGGGGCAAGCGUUGUCCGGAAUUACUGGGCGUAAAGGGCUCGUAGGCGGCUAACUAAGUCAUACGUGAAAUCCCUCGGCUUAACCGGGGAACUGCGUCUGAUACUGGAUGGCUUGAGUUCGGGAGAGGGAUGCGGAAUUCCAGGUGUAGCGGUGAAAUGCGUAGAUAUCUGGAGGAACACCGGUGGCGAAGGCGGCAUUCUGGACCGACAUUGACGCUGAGGAGCGAAAGCCAGGGGAGCAAACGGG
rnacentral:rRNA from 1 species